rnacentral:rRNA from 1 species
AGCGAACGCUGGCGGCAGGCUUAACACAUGCAAGUCGAGCGGGCACUCCGGUGUCAGCGGCAGACGGGGGAGGAACACGUGGGAACGUACCCUUCGGUUCGGAAUAACGCUGGGAAACUAGCGCUAAUACCGGAUACGCUCUUUUGGGGAAAGGUUUACUGCCGAAGGAUCAGCCCGCGUCUGAUUAGCUGGUUGGUGGGGUAAUGGCCUACCAAGGCGACGAUCAGUAGCUGGUCUGAGAGGCUGCUCAGCCACACUGGAGCUGAGACACGGCCCAGACUCCUAGGGGAGGGAGCAGUGGGGAAUAUUGGACAAUGGGCGCAGGCCUGAUCCAGCCAUGCCGCGUGAGUGAUGAAGGCCUUAGGGUUGUAAAGCUCUUUUGUCCGGGACGAUAAUGACGGUACCGGAAGAAUAAGCCCCGGCUAACUUCGUG